rnacentral:rRNA from 1 species
ACGGGCUGGGGGCAACUCCAGUCAGUGGCGAACGGGUGAGUAAUGCAUCGGAACGUGUCCCGUAGUGGGGGAUAACCCAGCGAAAGCUGGGCUAAUACCGCAUAUGCUCUACGGAGGAAAGUGGGGGACCGCAAGGCCUCACGCUAUGGGAGCGGCCGAUGUCCGAUUAGCUUGUUGGUGGGGUAAUGGCCUACCAAGGCGACGAUCGGUAGCUGGUCUGAGAGGAUGAUCAGCCACACUGGGACUGAGACACGGCCCAGACUCCUACGGGAGGCAGCAGUGGGGAAUUUUGGACAAUGGGGGCAACCCUGAUCCAGCCAUGCCGCGUGCGGGAAGAAGGCCUUCGGGUUGUAAACCGCUUUUGGCCGGGAAGAAAAGGCACGGGCUAACACUCCGUGUUCUUGACGGUACCGGCAGAAUAAGCACCGGCUAACUACGUGCCAGCAGCCGCGGUAAUACGUAGGGUGCGAGCGUUAAUCGGAAUUACUGGGCGUAAAGCGUGCGCAGGCGGUUCGUUAAGUCCGAUGUGAAAGCCCCGAGCUCAACUUGGGAACGGCAUUGGAAACUGGCGGGCUGGAGUGUGGCAGAGGGGGGUGGAAUUCCACGUGUAGCAGUGAAAUGCGUAGAGAUGUGGAGGA